rnacentral:rRNA from 1 species
UACGGGGGGAGCAAGCGUUGUUCGGAUUUACUGGGCGUAAAGGGCGCGUAGGCGGCCACCGCAAGUCGACUGUGAAAUCUCCGGGCUUAACUCGGAACGGUCAAGUGAUACUGUCGGACUAGAGUACAGAAGGGGCAACUGGAAUUCUCGGUGUAGCGGUGAAAUGCGUAGAUAUCGAGAGGAACACCUGCGGCGAAGGCGGGUUGCUGGGCUGAUACUGACGCUGAGGCGCGAAAGCUAGGGGAGCGAACGGG